GACGAACGCUGGCGGCGUGCUUAACACAUGCAAGUCGAACGGAAAGGCCCUGCUUUUGUGGGGUGCUCGAGUGGCGAACGGGUGAGUAACACGUGAGUAACCUGCCCUUGACUUUGGGAUAACUUCAGGAAACUGGGGCUAAUACCGGAUAGGAGCUCCUGCUGCAUGGUGGGGGUUGGAAAGUUUCGGCGGUUGGGGAUGGACUCGCGGCUUAUCAGCUUGUUGGUGGGGUAGUGGCUUACCAAGGCUUUGACGGGUAGCCGGCCUGAGAGGGUGACCGGCCACAUUGGGACUGAGAUACGGCCCAGACUCCUACGGGAGGCAGCAGUGGGGAAUAUUGCACAAUGGGCGGAAGCCUGAUGCAGCAACGCCGCGUGCGGGAUGACGGCCUUCGGGUUGUAAACCGCUUUCGCCUGUGACGAAGCGUGAGUGACGGUAAUGGGUAAAGAAGCACCGGCUAACUACGUGCCAGCAGCCGCGGUGAUACGUAGGGUGCGAGCGUUGUCCGGAUUUAUUGGGCGUAAAGGGCUCGUAGGUGGUUGAUCGCGUCGGAAGUGUAAUCUUGGGGCUUAACCCUGAGCGUGCUUUCGAUACGGGUUGACUUGAGGAAGGUAGGGGAGAAUGGAAUUCCUGGUGGAGCGGUGGAAUGCGCAGAUAUCAGGAGGAACACCAGUGGCGAAGGCGGGUCUCUUGGGCCUUUUCCUGACGCUGAGGAGCGAAAGCGUGGGGAGCGAACAGGCUUAGAUACCCUGGUAGUCCACGCUGUAAACGGUGGGUACUAGGUGUGGGGUCCAUUCCACGGGUUCCCGUGCCGUAGCUAACGCUUUAAGUACCCCGCCUGGGGAGUACGGCCGCAAGGCUAAAACUCAAAGGAAUUGACGGGGCCCCGCACAAGCGGCGGAGCAUGCGGAUUAAUUCGAUGCAACGCGUAGAACCUUACCUGGGUUUGACAUGGAUCGGGAGUGCUCAGAGAUGGGUGUGCCUCUUUUGGGGUCGGUUCACAGGUGGUGCAUGGCUGUCGUCAGCUCGUGUCGUGAGAUGUUGGGUUAAGUCCCGCAACGAGCGCAACCCUUGUUCACUGUUGCCAGCACGUUAUGGUGGGGACUCAGUGGAGACCGCCGGGGUCAACUCGGAGGAAGGUGGGGAUGACGUCAAGUCAUCAUGCCCCUUAUGUCCAGGGCUUCACGCAUGCUACAAUGGCUGGUACAGAGAGUGGCGAGCCUGUGAGGGUGAGCGAAUCUCGGAAAGCCGGUCUCAGUUCGGAUUGGGGUCUGCAACUCGACCUCAUGAAGUCGGAGUCGCUAGUAAUCGCAGAUCAGCAACGCUGCGGUGAAUACAAUCCCGGGGCU
rnacentral:rRNA from 1 species